rnacentral:rRNA from 1 species
GUUGGGUAGGGGAGCGUUCUGUAAGCCUGUGAAGGUGGCCUGUGAGGGUUGCUGGAGGUAUCAGAAGUGCGAAUGCUGACAUAAGUAACGAUAAAGCGGGUGAAAAGCCCGCUCGCCGGAAGACCAAGGGUUCCUGUCCAACGUUAAUCGGGGCAGGGUGAGUCGACCCCUAAGGCGAGGCCGAAAGGCGUAGUCGAUGGGAAACGGGUUAAUAUUCCCGUACUUGGUGUUACUGCGAAGGGGGGACGGAGAAGGCUAUGUUGGCCGGGCGACGGUUGUCCCGGUUUAAGCGUGUAGGUGUGUGUUCCAGGUAAAUCCGGUUCACUUUAACACUGAGGCGUGACGACGAGGCACUACGGUGCUGAAGCAACAAAUGCCCUGCUUCCAGGAAAAGCCUCUAAGCAUCAGGUAACAUCAAAUCGUACCCCAAACCGACACAGGUGGUCAGGUAGAGAAUACCAAGGCGCUUGAGAGAACUCGGGUGAAGGAACUAGGCAAAAUGGUGCCGUAACUUCGGGAGAAGGCACGCUGACACGUAGGUGAAGUGAUUUACUCAUGGAGCUGAAGUCAGUCGAAGAUACCAGCUGGCUGCAACUGUUUAUUAAAAACACAGCACUGUGCAAACACGAAAGUGGACGUAUACGGUGUGACGCCUGCCCGGUGCCGGAAGGUUAAUUGAUGGGGUCAGCGCAAGCGAAGCUCCUGAUCGAAGCCCCGGUAAACGGCGGCCGUAACUAUAACGGUCCUAAGGUAGCGAAAUUCCUUGUCGGGUAAGUUCCGACCUGCACGAAUGGCGUAAUGAUGGCCAGGCUGUCUCCACCCGAGACUCAGUGAAAUUGAACUCGCUGUGAAGAUGCAGUGUACCCGCGGCAAGACGGAAAGACCCCGUGAACCUUUACUAUAGCUUGACACUGAACAUUGAGCCUUGAUGUGUAGGAUAGGUGGGAGGCUUUGAAGUGUGGACGCCAGUCUGCAUGGAGCCGACCUUGAAAUACCACCCUUUAAUGUUUGAUGUUCUAACGUGGACCCGUGAUCCGGGUUGCGGACAGUGUCUGGUGGGUAGUUUGACUGGGGCGGUCUCCUCCUAAAGAGUAACGGAGGAGCACGAAGGUUGGCUAAUCCUGGUCGGACAUCAGGAGGUUAGUGCAAUGGCAUAAGCCAGCUUGACUGCGAGCGUGACGGCGCGAGCAGGUGCGAAAGCAGGUCAUAGUGAUCCGGUGGUUCUGAAUGGAAGGGCCAUCGCUCAACGGAUAAAAGGUACUCCGGGGAUAACAGGCUGAUACCGCCCAAGAGUUCAUAUCGACGGCGGUGUUUGGCACCUCGAUGUCGGCUCAUCACAUCCUGGGGCUGAAGUAGGUCCCAAGGGUAUGGCUGUUCGCCAUUUAAAGUGGUACGCGAGCUGGGUUUAGAACGUCGUGAGACAGUUCGGUCCCUAUCUGCCGUGGGCGCUGGAGAACUGAGGGGGGCUGCUCCUAGUACGAGAGGACCGGAGUGGACGCAUCACUGGUGUUCGGGUUGUCAUGCCAAUGGCACUGCCCGGUAGCUAAAUGCGGAAGAGAUAAGUGCUGAAAGCAUCUAAGCACGAAACUUGCCCCGAGAUGAGUUCUCCCUGAGACUU